CACGCGGUUGUAGAGGCUGGAACGUCCCAAGUCUGUGGGUCAGGAUAGAGGCUUCUCCUGAUUCACCUAGCCGCAGGGGCUGACGAACCCAAUAUUGGCAGGUCAGAGAGCAGGGUUCUUGCUCACAGGUCAUGAAGAUUGUCGAAUCCCAAGACUGGCAGGCAAGACCGCAGGUAAGCUGCUAGCUCAAGUCCCAAGAACCAGAGGUCAGGUGAACAUGAGUCAGCUGCAGGAUCCAGAGGGAGCAAAAGCCACAAGCCUUGCCAGAAAGUCCACUUAUAUUUGAUGCAGGCCACAUGCCCAAGGAAACUCCCUUUCAAGUGACUGGCUACGCACAGCAGAUCCCAUCAUGGAGGUGAUCACAUUAUAUCCAAUCUCGUCAUGGAGGUGAUCACAACACUGCCAAACCACUGAGAAUCGUGGCCCAGUCAAAUUGAAACACAACCUUAACCAUCACAGGUAUUAAUAUAAACUCUGAAAGAUUUUGGAGAAGAAAAUUAUAAAAAUACUCUUUUGAGUACUGUUAGAUGUGAAUGAAUGGAGAGAUCUCAAGUUUAGCUAUAGAGUGGUGGCCAUGGUGACUGGGGUGGGGAGGAAGACAUCACUAUAAAAUUGCCCAGUUCCCAGGCACAUCAUAGGUCUGUGUCACAAUUAUGAUGCAGGGACCCCUUGCCCCACUAGGUGUGCCAUUACAUGCAAUAGUUUUUUGGGAAUAAAACAAGUGUAGUGAGAGCCAUGGCAAGGCUGAGCCAGGGGGCAGUUGGAAAACAGAGGAGGGCCCUGUAAUCCAAGUGGUCAGGUCCAGUUUCUCAGAAGGGGGGAUGUGUGUGUUGAAGGGCUGUUGUUACCCUCAGCAACUGGGAGCUCAACGGAGGGGAGUUCCAACCAACAUGAAACCUACUUACCCCGCCACUGUGGUGAGAGAGCCCUAAGAGGGAGGUUCACGGGGUCUUAGAAGAGCACACUAUUUGCAAGUUGAGGGUCUUGAGCCUUGGUAGUGAGAUCUCAGACUUGACUGGAUCUCGAUGGGGGUUCCAAAACUGUUAAAAGCUGCACUCCUGGAAUAUCAUCACCAACAACCUGUUGAUAUGACAAAGUAAAGGAGAACACCACCUUGUGAAGCUUUGGCAGUGUUUCAGGGGGAAGAAAGGUCAGAAUUUAUUGAGAGGUUAAAGUGUGGUUUAAGGCAAGCCUUUCAAUGUGGGAGCUUGAUUAGGACUGGGUAAGGAUCAUGGCACAACAGUUCAGGAGUGGUGGAAGCAACAAGGUGAAGAAUUCAAAGAAUUUUAGGGCACAAACUGUUGACGUUUUCCAUUAAUGCCUUGAUGGGUCUUUGGGGGAAGUUCCUGUAAAUGAACCACCAAACCAUUUUCCUGGGCAGGGGAAUCUCAGAAAAGGAAAGAAAUGCUAAUGGAGACAAAGUCAUGUUUCUGUAGAUACUAAGGUAUGGUUUUUUUGGUUCUCAGUGUCUAGGCUGAGUGUGAGGAUAGAUGGUUUUAGUUCUCAUGUACAUAACAUUUUUUAUAAUUCACCUUAGGUAUAUGUUUAUUUUGUGGUAUCAAAGUCCUUUCAGUUCCUUGAAUCCCGAGGAAAGACGACAUGUACUCUUACAUGUUUGCUAAGCCCUGAGAAACAAAUUAAACAGCCAACUUUAACCUUUAAAUGGACUGUUUUAUUUGAUUUUCAAAAACACCCAGUGAAGUAAGCCUAUUCUAUAGAGGAGGAAAAACUGAGGCUCAAAGAGGUAAUUAUCUCAUAUUUGCACAGUUACAAAUACAUUUUUUUUUAGAGACAACCAAAAAUACCUUAAAAUUGCCAAAAAAUGGGGAAACUGCUGUAUUCGGUCCUGUUUUUUGCAGUAGGAAGCUGGGAUCUAAGUUCAAAAUAAUUAUUUGGUCAUUCUGUCCUCUCUGGGAUCCUUUUUCCUUUAGAGAGAAGUGAGAAAGGGUGGAAGCCAAAAGCCUCCAUCUAGUAUUGCAGUUCAGCAUUCGGUCUGCGCCUGCCCUCGCAGCCACUUCCGCUUUAGGGAUCGCAGCCUCGGCCUCCGCGACCCCCGCGGACCGGAAGCCGCCAGCCCGCCGGCGCAGGUUCUGGCCCGGCUGUGCCUAGGGCCCUGGCUUUGCCUGCUUCCGGUUACUAGAGGGCGCUGCGCAACAAUCGCAUUUCCUAGGAGGGUGGCAACCACGUGAUCAGCGUGUCACUGGAGGGACUUGAGGGCCACCGGGUGGAGCCUGGAAUGAGACUGCGAGGAGGAAGCGGUGAAGCGCCUCGAGCCAGCUCAGGCUGUUUUCUUUCCUCCACCGCCUUCCCUGCGCUGGCCAGGAGGUGGAGAUGCAGCUGGGAAAGCGACUGAAAUCCGGCCGCGCUUAGUUGUAACCUCCCGGCAACCCUUACAGCAGCCGCUGCAAAAGUUUGCUGACUCUUGUUGUAGUAGAAUGAACAGAAGAAUGGAAAGCAGUUGCCACAUAUUUGCUGUGUGACUUUGGGUAAGUUACUUCACUUCUCUGGUCUUUAUUUUUAUCAUCUCUAAAAUCAAGAUGAUGCGUGAUGGUGGAUGAGAUAAACUCUAGGGCGAAUCCCCCAUCCCCUUAGUUUUUGAGUAAUUAAUUAUGCAAGUAUUUCCUGAGUAAUUAAUUACGCAAAUAUUUACUGAGCUAGUACUAUGUACCAAGAACUGUUAAAAGCAUUGGAGAUACAGCAGGAAGCAAAAUUUCUGUCCUGAAAAAUUAUACUAUUCUGAAUGAAAAGAGACUUAAGAGGCUAUGUAUGGUUUGGGAUUGACUGUUUGGACAAACUAACUUUAUACGGUAUUUUUGGGAAAAUUAGGGAAACUUGAAUAUGGAUGGGUAUCAGAUGAAAGGAAAACUUAUUAACAUGGUAAAGUAGAGAUGUCAUUAACUGGAAAAAGCAGUUACAAAAUAUGACAUACAACAUGAUCUUAUUUUGGUAGAAAAUGCAUAGAUGUAUUAUAUAUACUUAAGAAAAAGAUCUGGAAGGAUGUAUGCUAAGCUGUUAACAGUGGUACCAAUUUCUGAGUUGUUGAAAUAUGAUGGUCCUAUUUACUUACUUUUGUUUUCUGAUUUUCUGCAAUCCAUAAAAACUGCUUUUGUAAACAUAAAGGAUUAUCUCUAAUUUAAGAAAUAAUCUCUGCUCUUAUGGAGUGUAAAUGGUAGUGCCUCUUGUAAAUAUUAGUAUUACCCAAUUUGUUCCUGUUUUUCUGAGGAAUGCUUGUAGGAAUGGAUCUGUCUUUCUCUCUUGCAAGUGAUGAAGGAUCAAAGCAUGCUCUGUGACAUAGCUGCAGAAUGUACACUGAUGCUACUGGCAUUUCCCUUGGACUUUUACUUGUCACUUACAAGAUUGGAUUUCUUAUCCUACAAAGCUGAGUGAAGACCAGGCCGUAGAAAAAACACAGAAAAUCUAUCCAGGUAAAUGAUACUUUGUGAGCCCUAUCAACAGUUAGUAUUCCAUUUAUCUAGUUAAGAUCUACCUAUGGUUCAAAUUCAUUCAAGUGCCACCUCCUUCUAGAAGCCUCCUCUGACAGCUUACCCUGAUUCCUCUGCCCUGCCUUCGUGUUCGCAUAGCACUCUUAGAAGACUUCUAUCAUGACACUUAACACACUGCCCUAUAAUCUUGGAUUCAUUUUCUGUCUCUCCACUAGAGAGGGCAGGGACUAUAUUCACUUGUUUCUUUGUAUACCGUCUGAGCCUAGUAUAAUGUCUAGUAUAUAGUAGCUUACUAGUUGUGUAUUCUUGGCCACAGUAUUUUUUCUGAGCCUCGGUUUUCUUAUCUGUAAAAUGGGGAUGAUAAUAAUAGUAGCUACCUCAGGGUUGUCUUAAGGAUUAAAUGAGUAUCUAUUAGCUGUUCAGUAAAUACCUCCUGAAUGGAUGACGUAUGGGAAGCUAUUUGUAUUGUAUUGAGAACGGUAAAAAUCUUCAUCAGCAGUACCUAAGGUAAUGUGGGGUUGUUUUGUUCAGCCUAUUUAGACCAGCAAUACCCUUAUCCUACAUUGCUUACCCAAACUGGGCCAUCAUUUAUUUAUUUACCUAUAUACCCAUUGCCAUCCAGUGGAUUUUGAUUCAUAGUGACCCUAUAGGACAGAAUAGAACUACCCCAUAGGGUUUCCAAGGAAAGCCUGAUAGAUUUGAACUGCUCACCCCUGGGCUAGCAGCUGAGCUCUAAACCACUGCGCCACUAUAUUGCAUUCUAGUGGGAAGGUUGGUCAAAAAGCAAGUAAACCAAUACAUAAAAAGGAUAAUUGUAGGUUAUGAUGAAUGAUAAAGAAAAUAAAUAGGCUAAAUCAGAAAGAGUAAUUAAGGCAGGUCAUUACAUAUUCGGUGAUCAGGGAUAGAUUCUUUGAAGACAGGGCAUUUGAGAUGAGACUAGAAGAAUGAGAAUGAGCCAACCACAAGAGGAGCCAACCAUGAGAAGAGGAAGAAUAUUCCAGGCAGAGGGAGUUGUAAGAGCAAAGGCCCUGAAGCCAGAAGGGAUCUGGGAUGUUCAAGGAAUGGAAAGAGGCAACGUAAGCUAAAGGGUGAAGAGGUUGGACUUUUUCUAAGAGCAGAGAGAAGCCAUUGAAGGAUUUUAAGCAGGGAAGUGACUUUAUCAGAUUUACAUUAAAAACGUAAAUGACUGUGUCCUAAUCCCCAGAACCUGUGACUAUAUUACCUUAUAUGGCAAAAGGUACUUUGCAGUUGUGAUUAAGUUAAAGAUUUUGAGAUGGGGAGAUUAUUCAGGUGGUCCCAGUAUAAUCACCAGGGUCCUUAUAAGAGGGAGGCAGGAGGGUCAGAGUCAGAGAAGGAGAUGUGACAACAGAAGCAUAGUCAAAGAGAGGUUUGAAGAUGCUACACUGCUAGUUUGAAGAUGGAGGAAGGGGCCAUGAGCCAAGGAAUGCAGGAAGCACCUAGAAGAUGUAAAAGGCAAAGGAACAGAUUCUCCCCUAGAGCUUCCAGAAGGCACGUAGCUCUGUUGAGACCUUGAGUUUAGCCCAGUAAAACCCACUUAUGACCUCUAGAGCUAUAAGAUGAUAAAUUUGUAUUGUUUUAAGCUACUAAGUUUGUGGUAGUUUGUUACAGCAACAAUAUACCCUGUAUGGAAAGAUAACCCCAAAAUUAAUGAGAUUAGUAAUUUAUAGGGCAUGAAUGGGAACAGGGUAAAAGGUGGGGAAUGGGAAUGGGGUAGAAUGGACGAGAAAAUGACAAAAAAAGUAUACUUUUCUUUGUAUGUUUCUAAUACUAAAGAAAAUUAAAAUUAAUAAGGGCCAUGAGGGAGACCCAAAAUGGAGUACAAACAAACAAACAAACUUAACUGUAUUACAAAUGAAUAGCAACCUUAAUGAACUGGGGAAGAAAAUAACUAACCUAACUUCGGAAAACAGUAUUUUCACUAUAUACUUUAAAGUAGUGGUUUUCAAACUUGAAUAUGCAUCAGACUCAUCUAUAGGGCUUGUUAGAACUCACACUGCUGGUCUCCACCCCUAGAUUUUCUGACUCAGUAGUUCUGCGGUCUGGCUCAAGAGUUCACAUUUCUAACACGUUCCUAGAUGAUGCUGAUACUGCUGGUCCCGGGACCACACUUUUUAGGACCACUGUUCUAAAGUUAAAGGCUAAAACAAACAAACAAACAACUGUACAUAAAUACAUUUAGUAGGUUUGUUUUCCACUGGGCUUGGAUUAGCAAUCCUGAAACAACUUUAUGUAUAUUCAAUUAUUGCGCAAACAAGUAAAUAUAUAUAAUGAAAGCCAGAUUUUACUUUGUCAGAAAAAGGAGUUACAAGUGAGGAAAGACAGAAGACUAGAAUGAAUCCUGUGGUGUUUAAUUAGAAUUGAGGUUUCAGUAUGAACGAAUGGUUGUAAACACACACACACACUGCACACACAUGCCCAAGCACAUGCUAACCUGCACACGGCACCCCCUGCCCCCACCACUCUCACACAGAGAUAAACAUAGGUACUUGGGUAUAUACAUGUAUUUCGUAACUCUGUCUGCUGAGAAAGCCUAGAAGCAACACCUCAAAACCAGUGAGCGCACCUAGCACUCAGAUUUGGGUUUUAAAAUAACCAUUCUCCAAGUAAAAGCAACUGAGGCUCCUUGGAGAAAUGGCUGAUUCCAGAGCUGAACAGGAAGAGUGUAAGAUGAGCCUGGAAUGCCAUCUUCUGCCAGAAAGUAAGAAAGUGCUCAUGGUGUAAUAGGGGUGUGCCGAAAGGACAUAGGAGUCAACUUGAAGUGGCUCCUAAUGGCCAAAUCUGGGGCUAUUUAAGCAACAACAACAACAACAACAAAAAUAAUGAUAGUAGUGGAUUAUAACCCAUAGAAUAAAACAAGAAUCUGUGAGUCCGUACUAAUAUAAAUAAAUAAUAGACUAAAUGAGUAAAGGAGGGAGAAGGGAAAGCACUUGCUCACAGUAGAAUUCCAAUUGAUGAAUGUAGAGAGAAUAAUGGUGCACUUUUGGCGUGCACCACAGUAAUAAUUACUUCAAGAAAGAAUUAUCAAUGGAUGCUUAAAUUCGUGGGCAAAAGUAUGAGAAACAGGGUAUUUAUAUAGUCUCAAAGUGUCCCUCCACAAAAUACUUAUUAAUUACGAAGGAAAAAAUAGUACUUUUACUCUGGAGGAAACUGGCAGAUGGUACCUCAAUCAAGGGAACAAGUUAACAUCUCUAGUAAUGGAACAAACUGACCGUCACGUGCCUCUUGAUGUGAUUCACUGAGAACAACACAGGAUCACAUCUGUAGUAUUCUUGCCAAAAAGACAUCACCUGAAUUUAAUCAAGGUGAACUAUUAGACAAACCCCAAACUGAGAGGCAUUCUAUAAAAUAACUCAUCAGUUUUUUUCAAAAGUGUCAUGGUCAUGAAAGACCAAAAAAGACAGAUUAAAGGAGACUAAGGAGACAUGUGUGAUCCUGAUGGGAAAAAGGACAUUAGUGGGGCAGUUGGAGAAAGUUGAAUAUGGUUUAUAGAUUAGUUUAUAAUACUGCGUGAAUGUUAAUUUCUUUUUUUGGUGCCUUUUCUUGUCUUUUUAUAUAAGUGAGGUCAUACAGUAUUCAUCCUUUUGUGAUUGGUUUAUUUCACUCAACAUACUGUCUUCCAGCUCCAUCUAUACUUCGUUUCUCCUCCUGGCCAAUAGUAUUCCAUUGUGAAUGUAAAUUUCUUGAUUGAUAAUACUGUAUUGUAGUUAUGUCGAUUAAUAUUUGGGGAAUCUGGGAGUUCUUUGUACUGUUUUUGCGUCUUGUUUAGUAAUUUUAUUUCAGAUUGAAAAGUUAAAAAUAAAACACCAGUUACUUACCUCCCCCCAAAAUAUUCCUGUGUGCUUUAUGGCAUAUAGAGAGAUCAGAGUGUAGGUGGGGAGGCCAGUUGGGAAGCUGUUGCACUAGCCCAUGGGAGAUACGAUGGUGGCUUGGACUGGGGUGGUGAUGACUGUGGAGAUGGAGAGGGGUGGGUGGAUUCAGGAUGCAGCUUGGCAUCUCUAUGCGCACUGCACAGGAGGGAAUGAAAGGGGAACAACAAUGGAAGGCGAACAGCCACAUUUGAAAAGGAGAUUCUUUGAGCAUUACCUUCAGAUGAAACAUAGAACAGAACAGGUACUGCAUACCAAUAAGUGAUUUCGUUAGAUAGUGAGUGAAUGAGAAUCCUCUAGUAUGUAAGUUGAAUUAGAUUCAGAAUCCUCUUUUAUGUAAGGUGGACUAUUUAUUAUGGAGUUUGUGUUUGCUUUAUCUAUUUCUUCUUCUUUGUUUUCCAUCAUUUUUAGUAAUGUUCCUCUCAUCUAAGGGAGAACAAGGACAGGGGUUUUCUUUGGUUCUCUUCUGUGUUUGCCUCUGCCAAGGACUGUCCUCUUGAGACUCCAUCUCUGCUCUUCUUGAGGAGUUUGAGUUCCGUUUUGAAUCACCCAAAUUGUGACCUUUAUAGGGCCCCACUGGUCUCCUUGGGUUCCAGCAUGAUGGGCCUUUCCCUACAUUUAGAUCUUUACCUGGGAUACUCUCUGUCUUGUUAAAAUUCUGUAUGUCUUUCAAGGCUCAGCUCAAGAACCACAGCCUCCAAGAUGUCUUCCUGGAUUUACUUAGCCUAAAGUAGUCCCUUUGUUUCCUCAGUAAGUCAUAGUUUAUUCCUCAUAUUUGACACACACUUAUUCACAGUCAAACUCAUUGCUUUGUACUUAUUUGUAUUCAUGACUUAUAUGCUUUACCAGAUUUUAAAUUCCUUGAGAGUAGGUACAUAUAAUCCACAAUUGAUGCCCAUGGAAGCAGCAGUCAAGAAAUCAAAUGACAUACUGCAUUGGGCAAAUCUGCUGCAGAGGACCUCUUUAAAGUGUUGAAAAGCAAAGAUAUCACCUUGAAGACUAAGGGUGUGCCUGGCCCAAGGCUUGGUAUUUUCACUCCUCUCAUACGCAUGUGAAAGCUGAACAGUGAGUAAGGAAGACCAAAGAAGAAUUGAUGCCUUUGAAUUGUGGUGUUGGCGAAGAAUAUUGAAUGCAACAUGGACUGCCAGAGAAUGAACAAAUCUGUCUUGGAAGAAGUUCAGCCAGAGUGCUCCUUAGAAGCAAGAAUGGCGAGACUUUGUCUCAUGUACUUUGGACACAUUCUCAGGAGGGACCAGUCCCUGGAGAAGGACGUAAUGCUUGGUAAAGUGGAGGGUCAGAGAAAAAGGGGAAGACCCUAAAUGAGAUGGAUUGACACAGUGGCUGUAAAAAUCAGCUCAAACAUAGCAACAAUUGUGAGGAUGGCGUGGAACCAGGCAGUGUUUUGUUCUGUUGUACAUGGGGUCACUAUUAGUUGGAACCAACUUGAUGGCUUGUAACAACAAUAGGUACCUAUGUUCAACGUUAAAUGAAUUUUUUCCUGACUGUCAGAUACAAAAGAGGUUCAACAGUAAAAUAAGUAGAUAAGUUCUCCCACAUACUUCAAACCCUAUGUUUAGUUUCCCUUUCUAUUCAGGACCUUUCCUGUAAAAUAUUGGAGUCACUUUCUUUGUCUGGAGUGAUCUUCCACCAGGGGGCACUCCUUCCUAUAUAUUGGUCAAUUUUCUUUAGGAGGCAUGAGAAAGAAGACUUCAUCAGAUAAAAUGUCAAAGCAAUGGAAAAACAAACAGUAGUAGGAAGUAGGAACUGAAUAUCUCCUGGACUUGUUUUGGUCCCAGCACUAGCUGACUACUCA